rnacentral:rRNA from 1 species
AUUGAACGCUGGCGGCAGGCCUAACACAUGCAAGUCGAGCGAGCGGCGGACGGGUGAGUACUGUAUGGGGAUCUGCCCGAUAGAGGGGGAUAACUACUGGAAACGGUAGCUAAUACCGCAUACCAUCGGAUGUGCCCCGAUGGGAUUAGCUAGUAGGUGGGGUAAAGUCUCACCUAGGCUACGAUCCCUAGCUGGUCUGAGAGUAUGACCAGCCACACUGUAACUGAGAAACGGUCCAGACUCUGACGGGAGGCAGCAGUGGGGAAUAUUGCACAAUGGGCGAAAGCCUGAUGCAGCCAUGCCGCGUGUAUGAAGAAGGCCUUCGGGUUGUAAAGUACUUUAAGCGGGGAGGCGUUACCCGCAGAAGAAGCACCGGCUAACUCCGUGCCAGCAGCCGCGGUAAUUC